CUUCCGUAGGUGAACCUGCGGAGGGAUCAUUACCGAGUUUACAACUCCCAAACCCCUGUGAACAUACCACUUGUUGCCUCGGCGGAUCAGCCCGCUCCCGGUAAAACGGGACGGCCCGCCAGAGGACCCCUAAACUCUGUUUCUAUAUGUAACUUCUGAGUAAAACCAUAAAUAAAUCAAAACUUUCAACAACGGAUCUCUUGGUUCUGGCAUCGAUGAAGAACGCAGCAAAAUGCGAUAAGUAAUGUGAAUUGCAGAAUUCAGUGAAUCAUCGAAUCUUUGAACGCACAUUGCGCCCGCCAGUAUUCUGGCGGGCAUGCCUGUUCGAGCGUCAUUUCAACCCUCAAGCACAGCUUGGUGUUGGGACUCGCGUUAAUUCGCGUUCCCCAAAUUGAUUGGCGGUCACGUCGAGCUUCCAUAGCGUAGUAGUAAAACCCUCGUUACUGGUAAUCGUCGCGGCCACGCCGUUAAACCCCAACUUCUGAAUGUUGACCUCGGAUCAAGUAGGAAUACCCGCUGAACUUAAGCAUAUCAAUAAGCGGAGGAAAA
rnacentral:rRNA from 1 species